rnacentral:tRNA from 1 species
UAGCCUAGUGGUUAGAGUGUUCGGCCAUUAACCGAAAGGUUGCUGGAUCAAAUCCAGC